ACCCGCUGAGUUUAAGCAUAUCAAUAAGCGGAGGAAAAGAAACUUACCAGGAUUCCCCUAGUAACGGCGAGCGAACCGGGAAGAGCCCAGCUUGAAAAUCGGGCGUCCGCGACGCCCGAAUUGUAGUCUGG
rnacentral:rRNA from 1 species